UACGUAGGGUGCAAGCGUUGUCCGGAAUUAUUGGGCGUAAAGAGCUCGUAGGCGGUCUGUUGCGUCGGCUGUGAAAACCCGGGGGCUCAACCCCGGGCCUGCAGCCGAUACGGGCAGGCUAGAGUUCGGCAGGGGAGACUGGAAUCCCUGGUGUAGCGGUGAAAUGCGCAGAUAUCAGGAGGAACACCGGUGGCGAAGGCGGGUCUCUGGGCCGGUACUGACGCUGAGACGCGAAAGCGUGGGGAGCAAACAGG
rnacentral:rRNA from 1 species